UUACCCAAUUCUCCCGCGAAGUAUCCAUCUCCAAUCCGACAGUCUUCCAUCUCCAAUCUGAUCGUCUUCCAGCCCCGUCACCAUCUGCCCCUACUCGUGGCCAUCUGUUCACUCCAGCGUGGCCGUCUAUUUGCUCUGACAUGCCCAUCUGUUCACUCUGAUGCUGCCAUUAACGAACGACGAAACCUCCGCAAUCCCUCUGCAAUCUUCGAACCUUUUCAAUUUGUUCCCAUCUUCUCUGGCGCUGCCAUUAACAAACGACAAAACCCCCGCAAUCUCCAAACCUUUUCAAUUUGUUAUCGUCUUCUCCGGCGCUGCCAUUCGUGUCCAUUAUCUUCGACGCUGCCAUUUGUGCCCGUCAUCACCUCCUCUGUCGGAUUCCUUUUCAUAGGUGAAGUUCGAAGUUGCUGCUUAUGAGAAGUUAGUAUUGGAAAAAUUAGAGAUAGUAUUCUUGUUGCUGCAUCACAUCCACUGAUCAAUCCUAUUCUGUUCAAUCCGACUGUGGCCGUAAUCUCCAAUCCGCCGCAUUCUCUUGACCAUUCAAUUGGCAUCUGUAACCUCCUCUAUCGGUUUAUUUCGAGGCCAACUUAGAUAUCAACACAAUGGACAAGUCAUGGAUGACCCAAAAUAGGAUGUCAAGAGAAUAUGAUUUAGGAGUUGAAAGGUUCAUUAAAUUUGGGUUGAGUCAUGCCAAAGGUUCUAAUUCACUAAGAUGUACAUGUCUGAAUUGCGACAAUCGUUUACUUAAGGAUGUCUCAACAGUUCAGUAUCAUUUGUAUGUCAAUGGAAUUGAUAAAAGUUACAAGAAAUGGUUUUGGCAUGGUGAAGAAUUGAACUCAGAUAACGUUACCAACACGAUAGAAAAUACAGUGGAUGAAACUGAUGAAAACGACGAUUUAUUUAGUACAACUAAUAUGGUUCAAUCCGUUCAAGAACAAUCUUCUAAUGCAUCCAAUACCUUUGACUCUAUGUUCGAUGACGUGAAGAAACCCUUAUACCCAGGAUGUAAGAAAUUCACAAAGUUGUCAGCUCUCGUGAGAUUGUAUAACCUGAAGGUUAGGUAUGGUUGGAGUAACACUAGCUUCUCUGAAUUACUGUCCAUAAUAAGUGAUCUAUUACUUGAUAACAACGAAAUUCCAUCUUUCUUAUACGAAGCGAAGAAAACACUAGGUGCCUUAGGAAUAAGUUACCAAAAAAUUGAUGCAUGUCUUAAUGAUUGUUGUUUGUACAUAAAGGAAUAUGAAAACAUGACCAAGUGCCCUAAGUGUGGUUUGUCAAGGUGGAAAAUCGCUAAGAACUCAAACAAGGAAAAAUGUGGUGUGCCUGCCAAGUAGAUGUGGUACUUUCCAAUAGUUCCAAGAUUUAUAAGAAUGUUCAAGCGAUUCAAAAAUGCUAAGAACUUGCGUUGGCAUGCGAUGAUAGAAAAGUUGAUUGUAUUUUGAGACACCCGGCUAACACUCCAUCAUGGAGGUUGAUUGACCAUAUGUGGCCAACCUUUGGGCUAGAACUGAGAAAUCUCCGUUUGGGUUUUUCUAUUGAUGGAAUUAACCCAUUUGGAGAUAUGUCAACGACGUACAGUUGUUGGCCUAUUAUCACUACAAUAUACAACCUUCGACCAUGGCUGUGUAUGAGAAGAAAAUAUUUGAUGUUGACAAUGUUAAUAUCAGGUCCAAAGCAACCAAGAUACAAUAUCAAUAUGUACUUAGCACCCUUAAUUGAUGACCUACAAAUGUUGUGGAAAGAUGAAGUUCGUUGUUUUGAUGCAUAUAAGGAAUAAUACUUCACACUGCGGGCUGUCUUAUUGUAGACCAUCAACGAUUUUCCAACAUACGGUAAUCUAUGUGGUUUUAAUGUGAAAUGAUAUAAGGCUUGUCCAAUAUGUGGAGAAAGACUACUUCAAUAAGAUUGCAACAUGGAAAAAAAUGUCAUACAUGGGACACAGGAAGUAUUUGCCAAGACAUCAUUCAUACAUAUUACAAAAAGAAAAUUUAAUAGGAAGCAAGAGCAUGAAAUUCCUCCACAACCCUUGUCGGGGGAGGCCAUGUACCUUAAGCUGAAAAACAUGAUAUUUUCAUGUGUGAAGAAGUGUGGAAAGACCGUGCAUAAUGAAGGUGGCAAUGACUAUUGGAAAAGAAGACCAUAAUUUUUUCAACUACCAUAUUGGAUACACUUGCAUGUUCGACACUGUUUAGACGUAAUGCAUAUUGAAAAAAAUGUAUGCAUGAACAUAGUGGGCACCUUGUUUGAUAUACUAGGAAAAAGUAAGGAUGAGAUGAAUACUAGCCUUGACUUGGUUGAAAUGAAAAUUAGACCAAAAUUGGCACCAAUGUUUACUGGUAAUAGAACUUACAUCCCUGCGGCAUGUUAUACACUGUCAAGAAAAGAAAAGUACAAGUUUUGUAAGACUGUCAGAAAUGAAAGUUUCAGAAGGUAAAUCAUCAAAUAUUAGCAGUCGUGUGUCUUUGGAUGACUUAAAACUGAUUGGCCUUAAUUUGCACGAUUGUCAUUUUUAAUGCAGCAACUGCUUCCAAUUGCAAUACGUUCAGUCCUACCGAAGAAUGCGAGAUACACAAUCAGUAGAUUGUGCUUUUUCUUCAACGCGAUUUGCGCCAAAAGUUUAUUCAUCUCAAAUCUUUACAAUCAUGGUUCACCUUGUCGUUCAUCUUGUUAGAGAAGUAAAGCUUUGUGGACAUGUAUAUUUACGGUGGAUGUACACAUUUGAACGAUGCAUGAAAGUGUUGAAAAGUUAUGUUCGCAAUAGAACUCGACCGGAAGGAUGCAUUGCAGAAGCAAGCAUAUGUGAGAAGGCAGUUGAAUUCUGUUCAGAUUUUCUUUCUGGAUUAUAUCCUAUUGGACUUGGGUCACUCAAUUCAAGGGCAGACAUGCAAAGCGACCGACCACUGUCAACAGGAACAUACUUUCGACCCAAUGUCCAACAACUGAAGCAAGCACAUUUUCAUGUCUUACAGAACACUGGAGAAGUGCACCCAUACGUUGAGUAAGCAUUCGUAUGAUUAUAUACUGCCAUUAAUUUACCCUCAAGUGACCAUUUUAAUCUAUGAAAUAUUUUGUAGACGACAUUUCAAUCAAUUAAAGAUGGAAAAUCGCAGAAGAGCCAAAAAAGAAGAAUGACUACAAGGUAUAAGCUCUGGCACAACUGUAGAAUGAUUCCUCAAUAUGAAGCAACUUAUGGUUCUUUUUUCAAGUUCUUAUAGAGAUGAAAUGCACAUAAUCCAUACUCAACUAAUUCAUACACAACAUUAAACUCAUUUUCUAUACUCUUGUGAGCAUCAGACACAAUUACCAUUUCUUUAUUUUCCCCAAAAACAAAUUUAAGAUUGUGAAAAAACCAUGUUCAUGGCAAGUCAUUCUCUGAAUCAACCACAACAAAAACUAGUGACACAAUUUAAGAAUUUUCAUCAAUAGUGCAAGCAGA